UGACAUAAAGCUUGCAUGAACGCAUUGCAGUGCCCCGAGCCCCAGGCCACUGGGAACAAUGGUAAAUGUGCGAAGUUUAAGCUAAAUAAUAUGCUUUUAAUGAGAUCGUGUGACUUGCAGAUCAAAAACAUCACCAAAAGACCAGCCAAAGAGUUCCCGGCGAGCUUCUGGUGCACUGUCCACACUUGCUCAGAAUACACCAACUGAGAUUGCCUUAUGAUUGCAGGAGGCUGGGCUGGAGGAAGCCUAUUUUCCCACUCCUGCCCUCUGACCUGUGAGUUUCUGGAAGUCAGACCAAGAUUUAACAGAAAGUGGAAUCUGAAUCAGCAAGAAGCUGGUACAAAGCAGCUCUGAGGAGGGCGUCUAGCGACAGCCAGGAAGAAUGUCACCCACUCCGUUUUCAGGGCCUAUGUGUGCCUCCUGACUCAGUGGAAUGGGGUCUACAUCUUUUCCAACGACUUCAUUUUAUGUUCUUUCAAUGCUGACAACUUGAAAAAGGCAGUGGACAUAUCUAAAAAUGACAGUUAUCUUCAGGGAAAGGAAAAUGGCAAAUAUUAGACAAAACAAGUAUGAAGUAAAUUUUUCACCCUGAAGGGCCAAAGAAAUCAUUAGAGUUGUCUGACAGCCUUGGUCUCCAGGCACGUGACCCGCCUUCUGGCUGUCUCAUUGCUAUUUAUAUGAGCCAGCAUGUCUGUCUAGUGGCCAGGAUGGAAUCAGCUGGGAUCUAUAGGAUCUUAGAUACAGCCCGGCACGAAAGAAACCAGCAAACCAUUAUAUCUGUCUUUUUAAAUUCUGGGUUCCAAAUUAUUCACCUGUAUUUGUAAUUAGUUACUUUUCUCCCAACACCACACACACACACACACACACACACAUACACAUGCACACACACACACAUUUUAUUCUUCUCUCCCUUAAAACAUCACAUUGAACAAGAUAGAACUUUAGAAGUUAAAUUACCAUAUCUCUUCGGCAAGAUAUUACUAUAUUUGCAGAGUGGGUGUUGAAAUAAAAUAAAAUAAAAAUAGCUGCUUUUGGCCUAGGAUAAGAUAUUCAAAUAAAUUAUGAAAUGGGAAG
rnacentral:lncRNA from 1 species